rnacentral:lncRNA from 1 species
AUGGGGUGUGACAGCAUAUGCAAAUCUCUUGUCCUGUUCCCCAUCACAUUGUUUCCUACAACAUAUUUAUCAAAUAAAUUUAGAAAACAUAAUCCCAUAGAUAAAACUGAAGUUAAACUUUUCAUUUUUGGUUCCCUCAGGAGGUUCCAUUCACAACUCUCACAGAAUCGCAUGGUUACCGUGACCCACAUUCUCGUUUUAUGCUUCCGUGUUUAUUUCUUAAUUUUUUUUUUUUUUUUUGUCUUUGGUGGCAUAAUUUUGAAAGUAAAAAAUUAGAAGGUAUGGUCAAGAAAUAGUCAUUUUAAAUUGGUGUCACAUAAUUUUCUCAUGGUUUACAAUUGCAGUUAAUCUAGAUUGGUUGACUCUCAGAAAUUUUGAUGUAGUAAGUGUUAGUUUCAAGCUACUAAAUUUUGAGGAAAUUUGUUAUGCAAUACUUGAUAACAAUUGAGGCUGUAUUUUUGGUUGAUGGGAAUGUAUUUCUGAUGAUUUGGGGACUCCAUUUUAGAGAGUUUAACAAAAUUAUCUGUGUUAACAGCCUUCUUUCUAAAAUGUUUAAAGACAGUACUAGAUAUUAUUUUUCUCUCUCUGCUCCCACCCUUCUCUAAACACAAUCUUUGAAAAGGAGGCAUUUUGCAUGUUAUUCACUGUGCUUUUCCAAGAGAUCCAACGCUCUUUAGUUCUAAAGUUGUAAUGAGGAUUAUGUUGACCUUUCCCGAGAGUUGAUUAUCUUCCAAGCAUUCUAUACAGCAAUUGUACAAUGGGCCCAACUUAAAAACUGAAUCUGACAUUGGGCUGUGUAUCUCUGUUUAGAUAUAUCCACUUGCAGAAUUCUGAUUUUCUUACCUGCACAGUUUUUUUUUUUUUAAUGUAGUCAUAUACUGUCAGCCUCUAGCUUCAGUGAUGUUGUGAUUGAGAUGAGUUCUUAGGAGGUGAAUUGACUGAGUGCUGAAGCUCAGUCCCAGGAGGUGAGGGGAUGACCUUCACUUCCCCCUCUUAGAGGUCACACACUGUCUCCUCUGCCGUAUUCUACUGAUCACACAAACCAGUUAUGAUUCACUGUGGGAAAAGACUAGAAAAGGGUGUGAAUUCCAGGGAGUGAAUCAGUGGGGGCCAUCUUAAGGCUGGCACACACUAUGUCUAUAAUUUAAUUUCCUCAUACUUGUGCUUUAACUUUUUCUCCUUAGAACUUAGUAUUAUUUAAAUUACUUUAUUCAUUUUGCUUAGUCAUUGUCUUUUUCACACAGUAGAAUGUAUGUGCCUCAAGGACAUGAGAAAUUUCAGUUUAUUUUGUGGCAACAGAUAUUGUGUGUUUUCUGGUCACCCAGUGUCUGUGUUCUACCUUCUGCUCAGAGAAGCUGGAUUUCCUUUUGCGUUAUCGCUUUCCCCUACUAGGUCUUCUUUUUUUUUUGUUUGUUCACUAUUCUGUUCCUUCUAAGACCAUAAAGGCGUUGUGGCUUCUGCCUUGGUCUCAACUGAAUUUUUCCUCUGGAACAAGCUGCCCCCCUAACAUGGGACCCUGGGGAAGAAGUGAGGUUCCCAUCAACAGCAGCACCAUCUUGCCAUGCAUGUGAGUGAACCAAUUUGGAAGUGUAUCUUCUAGUCUAAGUUCAGCUGCAGGGCCCAAAAGACUUCUUCUUUUUUUUUUUGCUUUUCAGGGCUGCACCCACGGCAUACAGAGGUUCCUAGGCUAGGGGUUGCAUCAGAGCUGCAGCUUCUGGCCUAUGCCACGGCCACAGCAAUAUGGGAUCUGAGCCCAGUCUUCGACCUACACCACAGCUCACAGCAAUGCUGGAUCCUUAACCCACUGAGUGAGGCCAGGGAUCGAACCUGCAACCUCAUGGUUUCUAGUUGGAUUCAUUUCCACUGCACCACGGUAGGAACUCCAGACAUCUUUGUGAUUCCAGUUUCAUUAGAAAGUCUGAGUCAGGGCCAGCCAGCUGAGCCAUUGCCAAACACUGACCUACAGAUAAUAAAUGCUUGUUGAUGUUUUGAGCUACCGAGUUU